rnacentral:lncRNA from 1 species
CUUAAGGAACAAGGCCAUUUUCAUUGUGUGGAGAACAGUGGUGUUUGAAAUAGCAGGAACAGGCAGAAAGGAGGUUUGGUCACCUUAUUUUAAACAGCUAAAGCCACCCAAAUCUCUAUUUCUGUUCUCUCAUACCUGGAGUCCCAGCUACUUGGGAGGCUGAUGUGGGAGGAUCACUUGAGCGCAGGAGUUUGAGGCUGCAGUGAGCCAUGAUUGUGCCACUGCACUCCAGCCUGGGUGGCAGAGAGAGAUCCUUCAUCGUGGGCCAGGAUGAUGGCCUGUGCUAGCCGUCCUUGAAAAGGCGAGGCCGGGCUGAGGGUGCACUGGGUUUAGACAUAGCAAGUGUCUCCUGUCACUUGUGCCUAGUUCCUGGGGCCAUGGUCCUUGGAGCUGCUGCAUCAGAUUCUCCCAACCACUGUCCUCCUUGCCCUCAGCUUCCGUGACAACAGGCACUCCUGGUUUUCUUCCUACCUCUCUGGCUGCUCCUUCCAGUCUUUUUGCAGGUUCCCACUCACUUACACAUGCCUUAAAAGUCGGUGGGCUUAGGGGUAACCAAUUUAGGCAUCCCUCUCUUGUAGGCAUCCCUCUCUUGUAGGCAUCCCACUCUUCCUUGGGAUGACUUAGUGAUUACAUCCUCUCCAAGACUUCAGGUCCCAGUGUCCUAUAUCCAGUUCGAAUACAUAGCCAUGUCAGUGGGAAGGAAAAACAGUUGCUCCUUUGGUAGAAAUGGCUACUGGAGGAAAUUUGAUUCAUUGAAGAACUUGGCUUGGGAAUUUGCAGACUGGUAGCACUCAUCAAGGCCUUGGAGAUCUUCGGAUUCUACCCCCUCAUCUUGGAAUCAGGAAACUGCAGGGGAUUGCCCAGGGGCACAGAUGUCCCAGGCUCCUGGGUGGGUUGGAACCAUCAAGCUCCCUGAAGAAAGGCUCCCAAGACAGGGAACAUAAUUAUUCCCCCAGGACAGAGUUGGACUUCAAGUGCAGCUUUCCACCAU